GACGAACGCUGGCGGCGUGCUUAACACAUGCAAGUCGAACGGUAAGGCCCUUCGGGGUACACGAGUGGCGAACGGGUGAGUAACACGUGGGUGAUCUGCCCUGCACUUCGGGAUAAGCCUGGGAAACUGGUCUAAUACCGGAUAGGACUACUGCCUGCAUGGGGGGUGGUGGAAAGCUUUUGCGGUGUGGGAUGGGCCCGCGGCCUAUCAGCUUGUUGGUGGGGUGAUGGCCUACCAAGGCGACGACGGGUAGCCGGCCUGAGAGGGUGACCGGCCACACUGGGACUGAGAUACGGCCCAGACUCCUACGGGAGGCAGCAGUGGGGAAUAUUGCACAAUGGGCGCAAGCCUGAUGCAGCGACGCCGCGUGAGGGAUGACGGCCUUCGGGUUGUAAACCUCUUUCAGCACCGACGAAGCGCAAGUGACGGUAGGUGCAGAAGAAGGACCGGCCAACUACGUGCCAGCCGCCGCGGUAA
rnacentral:rRNA from 1 species